rnacentral:snRNA from 1 species
GUGCUUGCUUUGGCAGCAUAUACACUAAAACUGGAAAAAUACAGAGAUUAGCAUGGCCCUUGUGCAAGGAUGACACACAAACUCAUGAAGCAAUUCAUAAUUUU